rnacentral:rRNA from 1 species
UACAGAGGUCUCAAGCGUUGUUCGGAUUCAUUGGGCGUAAAGGGUGUGUAGGUGGCGCGCUAAGUCGGGUGUGAAAUUUCGGAGCUUAACUCCGAAACUGCAUUCGAUACUGCCGUGCUUGAGGACUGGAGAGGAGACUGGAAUUUACGGUGUAGCGGUGAAAUGCGUAGAUAUCGUAAGGAAGACCAGUGGCGAAGGCGGGUCUCUGGGCAGUAACUGACGCUGAGGAGCGAAAGCGUGGGGAGCGAACAGG